GGGUUGUGAGGUUAAGCGACUAAGCGUACACGGUGGAUGCCCUGGCAGUCAGAGGCGAUGAAGGACGUGCUAAUCUGCGAUAAGCGCCGGUAAGGUGAUAUGAACCGUUAUAACCGGCGAUUUCCGAAUGGGGAAACCCAGUGUGACUCGUCACACUAUCAUUAACUGAAUCCAUAGGUUAAUGAGGCGAACCGGGGGAACUGAAACAUCUAAGUACCCCGAGGAAAAGAAAUCAACCGAGAUUCCCCCAGUAGCGGCGAGCGAACGGGGAGGAGCCCAGAGCCUGAAUCAGCAUGUGUGUUAGUGGAAGCGUCUGGAAAGGCGCGCGAUACAGGGUGACAGCCCCGUACACAAAAGCGCAUGUGCUGUGAGCUCGAUGAGUAGGGCGGGACACGUGGUAUCCUGUCUGAAUAUGGGGGGACCAUCCUCCAAGGCUAAAUACUCCUGACUGACCGAUAGUGAACCAGUACCGUGAGGGAAAGGCGAAAAGAACCCCGGCGAGGGGAGUGAAAAAGAACCUGAAACCGUGUACGUACAAGCAGUGGGAGCACAGGUUUACCUGUGUGACUGCGUACCUUUUGUAUAAUGGGUCAGCGACUUAUAUUCUGUAGCAAGGUUAACCGAAUAGGGGAGCCGGAGGGAAACCGAGUCUUAAUUGGGCGUUAAGUUGCAGGGUAUAGACCCGAAACCCGGUGAUCUAGCCAUGGGCAGGUUGAAGGUUGGGUAACACUAACUGGAGGACCGAACCGACUAAUGUUGAAAAAUUAGCGGAUGACCUGUGGCUGGGGGUGAAAGGCCAAUCAAACCGGGAGAUAGCUGGUUCUCCCCGAAAGCUAUUUAGGUAGCGCCUCGUGAAUUCAUCUCCGGGGGUAGAGCACUGUUUCGGCUAGGGGGCCAUCCCGGCUUACCAACCCGAUGCAAACUGCGAAUACCGGAGAAUGUUAUCACGGGAGACACACGGCGGGUGCUAACGUCCGUCGUGAAGAGGGAAACAACCCAGACCGCCAGCUAAGGUCCCAAAGUCAUGGUUAAGUGGGAAACGAUGUGGGAAGGCCCAGACAGCCAGGAUGUUGGCUUAGAAGCAGCCAUCAUUUAAAGAAAGCGUAAUAGCUCACUGGUCGAGUCGGCCUGCGCGGAAGAUGUAACGGGGCUAAACCAUGCACCGAAGCUGCGGCAGCGACACUGUGUGUUGUUGGGUAGGGGAGCGUUCUGUAAGCCUGCGAAGGUGGCCUGUGAGGGUUGCUGGAGGUAUCAGAAGUGCGAAUGCUGACAUAAGUAACGAUAAAGCGGGUGAAAAGCCCGCUCGCCGGAAGACCAAGGGUUCCUGUCCAACGUUAAUCGGGGCAGGGUGAGUCGACCCCUAAGGCGAGGCCGAAAGGCGUAGUCGAUGGGAAACGGGUUAAUAUUCCCGUACUUGGUGUUACUGCGAAGGGGGGACGGAGAAGGCUAUGUUGGCCGGGCGACGGUUGUCCCGGUUUAAGCGUGUAGGUGUGUGUUCCAGGUAAAUCCGGUUCACUUUAACACUGAGGCGUGACGACGAGGCACUACGGUGCUGAAGCAACAAAUGCCCUGCUUCCAGGAAAAGCCUCUAAGCAUCAGGUAACAUCAAAUCGUACCCCAAACCGACACAGGUGGUCAGGUAGAGAAUACCAAGGCGCUUGAGAGAACUCGGGUGAAGGAACUAGGCAAAAUGGUGCCGUAACUUCGGGAGAAGGCACGCUGACACGUAGGUGAAGUGAUUUACUCAUGGAGCUGAAGUCAGUCGAAGAUACCAGCUGGCUGCAACUGUUUAUUAAAAACACAGCACUGUGCAAACACGAAAGUGGACGUAUACGGUGUGACGCCUGCCCGGUGCCGGAAGGUUAAUUGAUGGGGUCAGCGCAAGCGAAGCUCCUGAUCGAAGCCCCGGUAAACGGCGGCCGUAACUAUAACGGUCCUAAGGUAGCGAAAUUCCUUGUCGGGUAAGUUCCGACCUGCACGAAUGGCGUAAUGAUGGCCAGGCUGUCUCCACCCGAGACUCAGUGAAAUUGAACUCGCUGUGAAGAUGCAGUGUACCCGCGGCAAGACGGAAAGACCCCGUGAACCUUUACUAUAGCUUGACACUGAACAUUGAGCCUUGAUGUGUAGGAUAGGUGGGAGGCUUUGAAGUGUGGACGCCAGUCUGCAUGGAGCCGACCUUGAAAUACCACCCUUUAAUGUUUGAUGUUCUAACGUGGACCCGUAAUCCGGGUUGCGGACAGUGUCUGGUGGGUAGUUUGACUGGGGCGGUCUCCUCCUAAAGAGUAACGGAGGAGCACGAAGGUUGGCUAAUCCUGGUCGGACAUACGGAGGUUAGUGCAAUGGCAUAAGCCAGCUUGACUGCGAGCGUGACGGCGCGAGCAGGUGCGAAAGCAGGUCAUAGUGAUCCGGUGGUUCUGAAUGGAAGGGCCAUCGCUCAACGGAUAAAAGGUACUCCGGGGAUAACAGGCUGAUACCGCCCAAGAGUUCAUAUCGACGGCGGUGUUUGGCACCUCGAUGUCGGCUCAUCACAUCCUGGGGCUGAAGUAGGUCCCAAGGGUAUGGCUGUUCGCCAUUUAAAGUGGUACGCGAGCUGGGUUUAGAACGUCGUGAGACAGUUCGGUCCCUAUCUGCCGUGGGCGCUGGAGAACUGAGGGGGGCUGCUCCUAGUACGAGAGGACCGGAGUGGACGCAUCACUGGUGUUCGGGUUGUCAUGCCAAUGGCACUGCCCGGUAGCUAAAUGCGGAAGAGAUAAGUGCUGAAAGCAUCUAAGCACGAAACUUGCCCCGAGAUGAGUUCUCCCUGAGACUUAGAGUCUCCUGAAGGAACGUUGAAGACGACGACGUUGAUAGGCCGGGUGUGUAAGCGCAGCGAUGCGUUGAGCUAACCGGUACUAAUGAACCGUGAGGCUUAACCUUACAACGCCAAAG
rnacentral:rRNA from 1 species